CCGGGAGGGUGGAGUGCACCCGGCUGCCCACAUCGUGGCUGCCCACGUCGUGGCCCGAGGCGCUCAUCCCUGGCCAGGAUCCCCAGGCACCAGGCAGGGCACAGGAACAGCCGCCAGCCUAAGGCAGCAGGACGUGCAGGCAUGGAGUGGCUGCCCAGGAGGCGAUGGUGACAGCUCCCUGCCCUGCAGCUUUUCUGGGCACCAUGGAAGCUUCUGGAUCCUGGACCAACUCUAGGAGGGAAGAGAGUUGCAUUUUCUGCCAGCCCCACAGGGUGGGGCUCCAAGUUGGGUUUAAGCUGAUUUAAGUAAACAAAGAAAUGAACCUUCCGGAUUUCUGGACAGCACGGCCCUCCAAGUUCAUGGUCUGAGGGUUCUUCUUUGCUCCGAAUAUGCAGCAGCAUUAGAUAAAACAUUUCAACAAAACAAGCCAAGCACCGCAGACACCAAAAACAGACAGAACAAAACCCGUGGGUGGGGUCUGAGAUGGGGCUUCUGGUCUGGAACCAAGGUGGGGGAAGACCUGGCACAGCUCCCAGGGUGGGGAGCAGAGGCCGCUGACUGCACAGAGAGACCCCCACCCAGAGAGGGAAUAGAAGGAAAAUUCCAGCCGAGUGCUUCCCGGACUUCAGCUUCCAGAUUCGAGAACCAGGAUGUGGGAGGAAGCAGCCUCCUGUCCAGGACCCAGGAACUGGUGUCCAGAACAGGCUCGUGCUGAGCUGUGUGUGAAGGUGGGCUGAGGUGGAGGCCAGGCAGCCAGGAGCCCCCAGGCUUGACUUGUCCCACAGCACGCCCGAGCCCAUGCCAAGCCUGCCCAAGAUGGUGAAGGGGACACGGUCCCAGGCGAGCAAGCUGGCUCAAAGCCAGUGACAGCUUUCCCAGAGGGUGAAGAAGGGAAUUUAAGAACACUUCACCCAUCUGGAACUAGGAAACGCUGUGGGAGCAGACAUCGCCAAGCAUCUGUGCUUAUUUUAAAUUCAGCAGUUCCAGGGCCUGCCCGCCCUAGGAGCAGAUGCUGGGAUUUCUUCUUGGAGCCUCUACAACUCCUCAAGCCUGACCGAGAGCAUCCUCAAGUCAGGAGACAGAAACAAAGGGCAGAGGGACGCGCUUGCUGGCUUUCCCUUUCAAACGCCCGGCUCACCACCUCUGCGACUCUGGGCUGAGCCAGGGCCCGAGGCUGGCCCCAAGCGCUGCCCCGAGCGGGCGGCAGGGCUUGCUCCCUGCAUCUCUCCUGAUGACAGACUUCAGAGAAUUUCUGGGGCGGACGAAAAGAGCAUAAUAAGUUUAAUUUUGGCAUUGUAAAGGUUAUUAUUAUAA